rnacentral:rRNA from 1 species
UACGGAGGGUGCAAGCAUUAAUCGGAUUUAUUGGGCGUAAAGGGCGCGUAGGCGGGCAUGUAAGUCAGAUGUGAAAUUCCGGAGCUCAACUCCGGAACUGCAUUUGAAACUGUGUGUCUAGAGGGUAGGGGGAGAAAAUAGAAUUCCACAAGUAGCGGUGAAAUGCGUAGAUAUGUGGAAGAAUACCGGUGGCGAAGGCGAUUUCUACCUUACACCUGACGCUGAGGCGCGAAAGCAAGGGAUCAAACAAGG